rnacentral:rRNA from 1 species
UACGUAGGGGGGCGAGCGUUUGUCCGGAUUUAUUGGGCGUAAAGAGCUCGUAGGCGGUUUGUCGCGUCUGCUGUGAAAACUGGAGGCUCAACCUCCAGCCUGCAGUGGGUACGGGCAAACUAGAGUGCGGUAGGGGAGAUUGGAAUUCCUGGUGUAGCGGUGGAAUGCGCAGAUAUCAGGAGGAACACCGGUGGCGAAGGCGGUUCUCUGGGCAUUACCUGACGCUGAGGAGCGAAAGUGUGGGGAGCGAACAGG